rnacentral:rRNA from 1 species
CAAAGGCUUCGGCCGGUAAAGGAUGGGGAUGCGUCUGAUUAGCUUGCCGGCGGGGUAACGGCCCACCGGGGCGACGAUCAGUAGGGGUUCUGAGAGGAAGGUCCCCCACAUUGGAACUGAGACACGGUCCAAACCCCUACGGGAGGCAGCAGUGAGGAAUAUUGGUCAAUGGGCGCGAGCCUGAACCAGCCAAGUAGCGUGCAGGACGACGGCCCUAUGGGUUGUAAACUGCUUUUAUACGGGGAUAAAGUAUGCCACGUGUGGUUUAUUGCAGGUACCGUAUGAAUAAGGACCGGCUAAUUCCGUGCCAGCAGCCGCGGUAAUACGGAAGGUCCGGGCGUUAUCCGGAUUUAUUGGGUUUAAAGGGAGCGUAGGCCGGGUUUUAAGCGUGCCGUGAAAUGUCGGGGCUCAACCUUGACACUGCGGCGCGAACUGGAGUCCUUGAGUGCGCGGAACGUAUGCGGAAUUCGUGGUGUAGCGGUGAAAUGCUUAGAUAUCACGAAGAACCCCGAUUGCGAAGGCAGCAUACGGCAGCGCUACUGACGCUGAAGCUCGAAGGCGCGGGUAUCGAACAGGAUUAGAUACCCUGGUAGUCCGCGCGGUAAACGAUGGAUGCCCGCUGUUGGCGAUAUAUUGUCA